rnacentral:other from 1 species
AAUCCCCUGCAGUGUUCGACGAAGUCGUAGAUUCCUUGAACCAAUAGUCGAGAGACUCGGUCGCGGCCCUUUGAACCCGCUGGUGUGCAUGCUCCUCGCGAGCGAGCCUGAAAGCGGACGGAAUGCGACCCCCCUGAACCCUAGGUUCAGGAUGAUCGGCGGAGACGGCACAGGCGGGGGGCCA